UUCUUUAAACUCGCGAAGUUGUAUAUGAGUAUCAUGCCAUCUCUUUGACCUUUCUUUACACAUUUUAGCAUUCUUAUAGGAAAACAGCCUCAGCUCUUCCAACUUAUCCAGUUGUAACAUCCUUCUCUCACCAGCUUGCUUAAGAUCAAAAUUUAACUGCUUCAAAGCCCAGUGAGCUUUAUUCUCCAAUUCUAAUGGCAAAU
rnacentral:lncRNA from 1 species